UACGAAGGGGGCUAGCGUUGUUCGGAAUCACUGGGCGUAAAGCGCACGUAGGCGGACUGUUAAGUCAGGGGUGAAAUCCUGGAGCUCAACUCCAGAACUGCCUUUGAUACUGGCAACCUAGAGACUGGAAGAGGUUAGUGGAAUUCCCAGUGUAGAGGUGAAAUUCGUAGAUAUUGGGAAGAACACCAGUGGCGAAGGCGGCUAACUGGUCCAGCACUGACGCUGAGGUGCGAAAGCGUGGGGAGCAAACAGG
rnacentral:rRNA from 1 species